ACUACUCUCACCGCGGUGGUCUUGACUCGACGCCAACAUCGCCUACCGCCUCCCCCGAAGCGCUGAACAAGGCACGAUUUACUCGAGAUAAUGUGUUGUACGCACUUUCGUUUCUGUGUCUUCACACGAUUCAUCGGAACAUGAAGGACAUUGAAGAUGCUUGGUACACUGGAUUUAAGGAGUUCUUUAUUCUAAUGAUGGUGGUAUGCUUUGGGAUGAUAGGGGUCGGUGUCAUGGCAAACACUUCGACACCUAUGUCCGAAACCAACAACAUGAUCUCAGCCAUGAUGUCUCGUACAUCUUGGAUCUUGAGCUCUUGUCUCUUAUUGAUCACUUUAUCCUUCUUUGUCGGAGGACAUGGAUUCAUCUCUUGUAUCGUCGCUGCCUUCUUUAUCAUGAUUGUCAUGGCAUUUGCUUGGAAGUUCCGCGACCCUACAACCACCACCGUUGUGUCUACUUUGUUCACCUCUUGCUUGAGUAAGAUCAAGGCUGGUUGGUGGUGUCGGUCACAACCCAUCCUCCCCCUGUGAUUUUCUGUAUGAGGUUGAUGUAUGCUGAGGGUACUUUCAUAUUGUUUCAUGAUGCAUGUGGCAAUAUUAGUGAGAUGAACAGUCCUUCUGUAGUUGAUGGUGAAUGGAACAGUAGCUGUCUGUGUAAGGAAAAUGCCUGAUUUUGUUCAUUUUAUAUGAAGUUGAAUAGUUCAAUCUA